AUUCUGCUGCUGGCACCGAGGGAUAUGCAAAUGAGCACACGAAUCAGUUGUCACCACCACAGACACCGUGCAGGGAGAUGAUCAGAAUGCGUGGGGAGCAGAGUUGGCUGCAAGUGAGGGGAGAAAUGCGGGGGGGCUUCGAUUUCUUAAAUUCAGGAAAGUGCAAUCUGUUCCUCACCGAUCACUGACAGUAACCUGAAAGUCUGGGAAUGACAGAAACUUUUCAGUUAUUUGUAGAAGGACCUGAUACCACAGGGUUCGUCUCUAUACAUGAACACAGCCCUAGUCUGAAGAGACUGAAAAAAGAGAGACAACGGGUGUUGAAAGAGGAGUGAAGCUGCUAUUCCCAUCAGUAUAGACGUCCAGCAAGUCAGGGACAAGGUGUUUAUGAACAGAAACCCAAAUUAGGGCAGUGACCGCUCAUCUCUGACACGGGAGCGCCUCAAAAGUCAAAAGAAAAGGUAACAUUUUAAAGCAUCUUUUAUUAUCUGCCUGUCUCAUUACUUCAUCGCCUGCUUUUUUUUUUAAGUAGAAAAUGAUGAAAAUAUGAAACACUUUACUCAGGGUGUUAUUAUUCUUAUUUUAAAGAUUACUUAAACUAGCCCCUUCCGGUUCAGAUCUGGGGUGUCCCCCACAAAGCCCCGUGUGUUCUGGAUCGCGGGGGGCUGUAAUCACGGGUGGAUCGAUCCAUCAAUGAGUUUACAGAGGUGCGGUCUGAUGGGAAGAGGCGGCCCUUGGAGACCUGGCACGAGUAGCUUUCUUCCCCAGCGAACUCUUCAGCACUCGCUUUCUGUCUAAACCAUCCAACCGUACACCGAAGCCCCUAAAACACGUCAGCCAAUAUAACCCUCUCUUGUAAGUUGAAGGUGUCGGGUAUUCUGACCCAGCAAAGAGAAAAGUGACUGAGACAGAACCCAAAACACAGAUGGAGAAAGUAACAGCACCAAUUGCUAUCUCGCAGUCAGUAUUUUUCAGCUCCCCAUUUUACAGAUGGGAAAACAAAGCCCCCGAGCAGGUAAAUGAAGAGAGCAGGGAGAAGGAAUGGCCAUUUAAUCAGACGGCUCUAUGUUGUCAAUCUAGUCUCUGCCCUUUACAAGCAGUGUGAGCUCUGACAAAAACAAUUAACCUUUCUAAACCUCCAUAGAUUUGAAACAGUAUAUUUUUAAUUGGCUUGUUUAGUGUUUCCUAAAAUAUAUCCCUUUGGAACACUUGUUCUAUAGAUGUUUAAAAGUGUUAAAUAAAAAAAAAAUGUUUCAUUGGUCCAGCAAGUCUUGGGAAACAUGGUUUAAAAGUGAAGCAAGCUCUGAUAUUUCAAACUCCUCAGAGCCUCUAAAAUGCUAAUUGCAUCACAUUCUCCAAGGGACUGGAGAGCAGGAAGUAAGAAAUGUUUCAUGGAAAAUAACUUGGAAAGUCUAGUUCGUUGCAUCUAGAAGUUUCUCUUAGUCACUUAUUUAUUUAUUAUUUUUUGUCGUUGCAGUAGUUUGGACCUGAAACACUACCCAAGGAUUCGUGUGUUAAGCGCUUAUUGACCAGGGUAGCAUUAUUGGAAUUUCCUGGGGAUUUGAAGAGCUGGAGCUCAUUGCUGCUGGGCAUUGAGGGUAUGCCAUGCUUUACCCUCUCGUUCCGCUUCUCCCCUCUCCUCCCCUUUCCUCUCUCCUUCCCUCAACCCCUCUGCUUCCCUCCCACCCUUUUGUCUACUGUGAUUCACCUCUA